rnacentral:rRNA from 1 species
CCUACGGGUGGCUGCAGUGGGGAAUAUUGGACAAUGGGGGCAACCCUGAUCCAGCCAUGCCGCGUGUGUGAAGAAGGCCCUCGGGUUGUAAAGCACUUUCAGUGAGGAAGAACGCCUGGUGGUUAAUACCCAUCAGGAAAGACAUCACUCACAGAAGAAGCACCGGCUAACUCCGUGCCAGCAGCCGCGGUAAUACGGAGGGUGCGAGCGUUAAUCGGAAUUACUGGGCGUAAAGCGCGCGUAGGUGGCUUGAUAAGCCGGUUGUGAAAGCCCCGGGCUCAACCUGGGAACGGCAUCCGGAACUGUCAAGCUAGAGUGCAGGAGAGGAAGGUAGAAUUCCCGGUGUAGCGGUGAAAUGCGUAGAGAUCGGGAGGAAUACCAGUGGCGAAGGCGGCCUACUGGACUAACACUGACACUGAGGUGCGAAAGCGUGGGUAGCAAACAGGAUUAGAUACCCUAGUAGUC